rnacentral:rRNA from 1 species
GGGCCCGCACAAGCGGUGGAGUAUGUGGUUUAAUUCGAUGCAACGCGAAGAACCUUACCAGGGUUUGACAUCCUGCGAAUCUCUUGGAAACGAGAGAGUGCCUUCGGGAACGCAGUGACAGGUGGUGCAUGGCUGUCGUCAGCUCGUGUCGUGAGAUGUUGGGUUAAGUCCCGCAACGAGCGCAACCCACGUCUUUAGUUGCCAGCGAGUAAUGUCGGGAACUCUAGCAAGACUGCCAGUGCAAACUGUGAGGAAGGUGGGGAUGACGUCAAAUCAUCACGGCCCUUACGUCCUGGGCUACACACGUGCUACAAUGCUACGGACAAAGGGCUGCAAGUUCGCGAGGACAAGCAAAUCCCAUAAACCGUGGCUCAGUUCAGAUCGUAGGCUGCAACUCGCCUACGUGAAGGCGGAAUCGCUAGUAAUCGCAGGU